ACCUCAGUAACGGCGAGUGAAGCGGUAACAGCUCAAAUUUGAAAUCUGGCUCUUUCAGGGUCCGAGUUGUAAUUUGUAGAAGAUGCUUUGGGUGUGGCCCGGGUCUAAGUUCCUUGGAACAGGACGUCAUAGAGGGUGAGAAUCCCGUAUGUGACUCGGCGCCUUCGCCCGUGUAAAGCUCUUUCGACGAGUCGAGUUGUUUGGGAAUGCAGCUCAAAAUGGGUGGUAAAUUUCAUCUAAAGCUAAAUAUUGGCCAGAGACCGAUAGCGCACAAGUAGAGUGAUCGAAAGAUGAAAAGCACUUUGGAAAGAGAGUUAAACAGUACGUGAAAUUGUUGAAAGGGAAGCGCUUGCAACCAGACUUAGCGGCGGUCGAUCAUCCGGGGUUCUCCCCGGUGCACUCGGUCGCCUCUAGGCCAGCAUCGGUUUGGGUGGUGGGAUAAAGGCCUUGGGAAUGUAGCUUCUCUCGGGGAGUGUUAUAGCCCAAGGUGCAAUGCCGCCUACCCGGACCGAGGACCGCGCUUCGGCUAGGAUGC
rnacentral:rRNA from 1 species